rnacentral:rRNA from 1 species
GAUGAACGCUGGCGGCGUGCCUAAUACAUGCAAGUCGAGCGAACAGACGAGGAGCUUGCUCCUCUGACGUUAGCGGCGGACGGGUGAGUAACACGUGGAUAACCUACCUAUAAGACUGGGAUAACUUCGGGAAACCGGAGCUAAUACCGGAUAAUAUAUUGAACCGCAUGGUUCAAUAGUGAAAGACGGUUUUGCUGUCACUUAUAGAUGGAUCCGCGCCGCAUUAGCUAGUUGGUAAGGUAACGGCUUACCAAGGCAACGAUGCGUAGCCGACCUGAGAGGGUGAUCGGCCACACUGGAACUGAGACACGGUCCAGACUCCUACGGGAGGCAGCAGUAGGGUAUCUUCCGCAAUGGGCGAAAGCCUGACGGAGCAACGCCGCGUGAGUGAUGAAGGUCUUCGGAUCGUAAAACUCUGUUAUUAGGGAAGAACAAAUGUGUAAGUAACUAUGCACGUCUUGACGGUACCUAAUCAGAAAGCCACGGCUAACUACGUG